UUCAUUGUUCUCUCUCAUCUUUUCCAUCUUUUCACACUCUCUCACCGAUCCACAAUCCCACUAUAACUCUAACCUCCAUUUCAUAUUAAACCCCAUCCGCGACCCUCUUCAUAUCUUCCUCAUUGCCGUAACUUCAACACAUCUCACCCGAUACACCUCCAUCCCAAACCUCCGCCUUACAUCCUUGCCACCACCUCCAUAUUCUGUUCUGAAACCAUCACCGCUUACCUCCCUGUACUAACAAAAACCCCUUUGUUUCAUACUUCCUCUCGUCUCACCGUCCAAAUCCCUAGCUUCAUUAACAUUCAACACCUUUCAACGUUUCAGCGACACUCACUUUCAACUUUCUCUUCGGCAACACCAUCCUAAGCCAACGUCAACAAUCUCUCCACAAACAGCAAUUGCAAGCCAACCGUGUUCUAUUUUCGGAUUCCCUCUAUUUCCAACACCAACAGCUUCUGACUUCGACGAACGUUUGGGAUAUGGAUAGGGUUUUCUGCACCCCCUUCUCUCUCUACCUCUUUCUCUCUCCACUUUUCGAUUAUCAAUGGAUAGGUACCAGAAGGUUCAGAAACCCAAACUAGACUCCCCCAUCAACGAAAAUGAGAUCCGUAUCACCACUCAAGGUGCCAUUCGUAACUACAUCACUUAUGCCACCUCGCCUCUUCAGGUGUGGAUGUAACUCCUGCUAUGAGUGUGGGAAGCAUUGGAAGCAUGGACAUUUGUGCAAUAGACGCACUAGACUCCCUAGAUAUAGAUCGUGAUAUUCGUGCAAUGCAGGGUUUUGCACAAAAGGAUGCAUAAUCAAUGAAGAGUGAAAAGUUGUUUCAAUCUCAAGGAAGUCCUAAACAAUGCAGGGUUUUGCACCAUUUUUAGUGUGUAUAAUAUAUGAGGUGUGGCUCCAACUAUUUGUAACUAUUUAAUGCUAAAGUUGUACACCUACUGCUUAGUCUAUCGAUUUAGUUGCUUAGAUCUGAUUUACUUAUUGUUAUGAUGUAAUAUGAAUUGGUUUAGUUGUUUUGGUUUAGAAAUAUGUAUAUAUGUA